GUGCAGCAGGCGCGAAAACUUCACAAUGUGCGAAAGCACGAUGAGGGAAUCCCAAGUGCUUGCACGUAAGUGUAAGCUGUUUCUCUGUCUAAAACGCAGAGAGAGUAAGGGCUGGGUAAGACGGGUGCCAGCCCGCCGCGGUAAUACCUGCAGCUCGAGUGGUGACCGUUAUUAUUGGGCCUAAAACGUCCGUAGCCGGUUUAAUAAAUGCCUGGGUAAAUCGGACCGCUUAACGGUUCGAAUUCCGGGUAGACUGUUAAACUUGAGACCGGGAGAAGUUAGAGGUACUCCUGGGGUAGAGGUGAAAUUCUGUAAUCCUAGGGGGACCACCAGUGGCGAAGGCGUCUAACUAGAACGGGUCUGACGGUGAGGGACGAAGCCCUGGGGCGC
rnacentral:rRNA from 1 species